GGGAGGAACAACCACAGUGGCGGUGGCCAGCUCCGGAGCCCUGGAUUCAGCUCCCGCAGUAGCAUCAGAGCUCUCAGUCUGCAGGGGCCUGGAUUCUCCGGGGGCGG
rnacentral:pre_miRNA from 1 species